CAGUCGCCGCGGGAAUACCAGCAGCCCAAGUGGUGGUCGCGUUUAUUGGGCCUAAAGCGCUCGUAGCCUGGCCGGUAAGUUCCCCGUGAAACCAGGUCGCCCAACGAUUCGACUUGCGGGGAAUACUGUCGGUCUUGGGGCCGGGAGACGCCGAGGGUACUCCGGGGGUAGCGGUGAAAUGCUGUAAUCCUCGGGGGACUACCAGUGGCGGAGGCGCUCGGCGAUAACGGGCCUGACGGUGAGGGGCGAAAGCUGGGGGCGCGAACGGGAUUAGAUACCCGCGUAGUCCCUGUCUCUUAUU
rnacentral:rRNA from 1 species